GAUGAACGCUGGCGGCGUGCCUAAUACAUGCAAGUCGAGCGAACAGACGAGGAGCUUGCUCCUCUGACGUUAGCGGCGGACAGGUGAGUAACACGUGGAUAACCUACCUAUAAGACUGGGAUAACUUCGGGAAACCGGAGCUAAUACCGGAUAAUAUAUUGAACCGCAUGGUUCAAUAGUGAAAGACGGUUUUGCUGUCACUUAUAGAUGGAUCCGCGCCGCAUUAGCUAGUUGGUAAGGUAACGGCUUACCAAGGCAACGAUGCGUAGCCGACCUGAGAGGGUGAUCGGCCACACUGGAACUGAGACACGGUCCAGACUCCUACGGGAGGCAGCAGUAGGGAAUCUUCCGCAAUGGGCGAAAGCCUGACGGAGCAACGCCGCGUGUGUGAUGAAGGUCUUCGGAUCGUAAAACUCUGUUAUUAGGGAAGAACAAAUGUGUAAGUAACUAUGGACGUCUUGACGGUACCUAAUCAGAAAGCCACGGCUAACUACGUG
rnacentral:rRNA from 1 species